CGGAGGCAGCGGCCUGCCCUGAUAUCCUGCUCCGAAGAUGAUGUCCUGCCCGAAAGAUAACGAUGUCCCACCCUGAUGUCCUGCCCCAAAGGCGAUGUCCUGUUCAAAAGACAAUGUCCCGCCCCGAUGUCCUGCCCUAAAGACAAGGUCCUAUCCUGAUGUCCAAAGACGAUGUCCUAACCCGAUGUCCUGCCCCAAAGACAGUCUCCUACCCUGAUGUUCUGCCCCAAAGACAGUCUCCUACCCUGAUGUUCUGCCCCAAAGACAAUGUCCUGCCACAAUGUCCUGCUCCAAAGAUGAUGUCCUGCCCUGAUGCCAAUGUCCUGCCCUAAAGACGAUAUCCUGCUCAAAAGACAAUAUCCUGCCCUAAAGACGAUAUCCUGCUCGAAGAACAAUGUCCUGCCCCAAAGAUGAUGUCCUGCUCAGAAGACACUGUCCUGCCCCAAAGAUGAUGUCCUGCUCCAAGGCCAAUGCCCUGCCCUGAUGCCAACGUCCUGCUUUGAUGUUCUCCCCAACACCAGUGUCCUGCCCUGAUGCCAAUGUCUUCCCCCAGUGCCAACGUCCUGCCCUGAUGCCCCAAAGCCAAUGCCCUGCUGAUGUUGCUGCCACCCCGGGCACCCGAUUCCGGCAAGGCUCAGGCACCCGGAUCCUGCCCCCAGGAUCUAUUAAUAGCCAGGAAGAAGUGAGAAACGCCUGUGACAACGACUGUGGCCUCAGAUUCCUGUUUCGAGACCAGGAGUGGGCCGCGAGGACUGACCCAUCGUGACGUAACCCUCCCUCGCUGGGAAGAGCCCCCAAUGCCGGGGGGUUCCCAGCUGGCAGCGAGCGCUAUAAGAGCAGAACCCUGGCGCGGGGCAGCACAGAAGCCCUGAGCCUGCCUGCACCCCCACAGCCCCGGAGGAUAUGAUGCCAGCCAUGAGGGUCCUUCCUUCCCCUCCUCCAAGUGUCCGCCCAUGCAGGCCAAGGCUGACUUCAUCUUCCUAUCGUACCAGCUAUGCCCCAACUACGAAAGCAGGCACGAACAGUGGGCUUGUUGCCCACUUUGUCUGCUUCCAUGGGUAGAGCCCACAGCCCAGCUGGGAGACCCAGGACCAAGACCUCGCUGACGGACUCUCCAUCUCUCUCGGUGUUGCCCCAUUUCCCUCCCAACCACCGGAGGAAGUCCCAGUGCGGAGGUGGAGGCGCAGCCGCUAGCCCUGCUCGGGAAGGAAGCAGGAGGGGAGACGGCCGGGAGGUCUGCGAGGGUUGGGAGCAACGUUGUCUGCUUCCCAGCUGGGGGUGGUUCGCUUCUGCUGAGAAGGAAGAGGAGCUCUGCUCUCCCACCUCUCGGGGAAGUGCUUCAUGGUUGGGAGGCACCAAAUAACUCCCGUAAAACACUGUCCCGGGCACGCUCUGCUUCACUGCUGAUGGGACAGGAGCUUUGGUAUCCCUGCAAAAUCUGUACUCUCUGUCUUGUCCAAACCUGAAAAAUAAACGAUCCCAACUCUAUCUUGGAGAAGUUUCUUUGGGGGUCAGAAGGUGCAGGGGAGGUGUGGGAACAGUGUGAGCUUUUCCAGAUCCUUCCCAUGCCAAGUCUCAUUCUCUAAAUCUCCUGUCCCUUAUUUCCCGUUCUUCAGGUGGGUCAUCUCACCGGGCUGCAUUCGUGAUAUGAUUUCAGGAGCAGCAGCUGAGCAGGGAAGGCAUUCACCCUGCCUUGGGAAGGCAUUCAACCCCCUUGGGAAGCCAGGCCAGGCUGGGAGGAAUUAAAAAGAUCAGUAAAACACCUCCCAGCAUCUGCCCAAGUCCUCUGAAACGGCUGCAGUCAAAUUGCUCAGAUAGAUGCAAGAUAUUAAGGUCUUUCAGUAACUGGACAGAAUUCCAGAAAUAAGCAUCCCUUCCUCCCCCCCACGGUAUUUCUGUUGGCAAAGAAACAAACCCAGCUGGGAGAAAAAGGCUCUCUGUUUU